rnacentral:sRNA from 1 species
AGCAAGCUUCUGGUUGGCUAGCCGGCCGUC